UUGAAUUGAUGUGAUCCAUAAUAUUUGUAAACCUAGGACCCCGUACCUUUAUUUUUUUAUUUUAUCACUUUUCAGAAUUUUCAAACUAUUUCAACUUCGGCUUUUCUUUGCUUUCUUUCAACCUAACUAUUUGUAACAUUGUGUGAGAAAUAUAUUUGAAACCCUUAUAUGUCUAUCUGUUGUUUGCAUUUAAAGUCAUAAUUGUAGCAUGGACGAGAACCACACUAGUGGAUCUUGAGGGAUGCCUAACACCUUCCCCUCGAGAUAAUUUCUAGCCCUUAUCCAAUC
rnacentral:lncRNA from 1 species